CCUACGGGAGGCAGCAGUGGGGAAUAUUGCGCAAUGGGCGAAAGCCUGACGCAGCGCCGCCGCGUGAGGGAUGAAGGUCUUCGGAUCGUAAACCUCUGUCAGCAGAGAAGAACGGUCACUGUGCUAAUCAGCAGUGAAUUGACGGUACCUGCCAAGGAAGCACCGGCUAACUCCGUGCCAGCAGCCGCGGUAAUACGGAGGGUGCGAGCGUUAAUCGGAAUUACUGGGCGUAAAGCGCUCGUAGGCGGUAUGUCAAGUCAAGGGGGAAAUCCCCGCGCUCAACGUGGGAACUGCCUUUGAAACUGGCAAACUGGAGUGUGUGAGAGGAUAGUGGAAUGCCAGGUGUAGGAGUGAAAUCCGUAGAGAUCUGGAGGAACAUCAGUGGCGAAGGCGACUAUCUGGCACAUAACUGACGCUGAGGAGCGAAAGCGUGGGUAGCAAACAGGAUUAGAUACCCCUGUAGUC
rnacentral:rRNA from 1 species